AGCCUUUAAUAGUGAGGUAGUUUAUGGUCCUUAGGCAAGAGAUGGGAUUUGUGUUGGGAUUUCAAGAAUGGGAGGUGCCGAAGAGAAAACUGAGAAGCUAAAUGUGAAAAUAUGCAAUUUACUGACUGGAGUAGUUCUGAACACAUUUUAAACAUAAUUAAACUAUGGCUGUGGGUCUAUAUGCGUUUUCAUAAUUUUCCCUUGAAAAUGUGAGGCAUACAGAUGUCAUCUCCAGUGAAUUCUCCUUGUCCGUAUACAGAAUCACCAAAAAAAAAAAAAAAAAAAAGGCAUUCUGACAGUCCUCAGCCCAUCCACUCCAGGAUUGUGACUCUUUCUUCCCCAUGUUCUUUCUGACAUCAUGGACUCUCAGGUUGACCUCUCCCAUCUUGGGUCCCACUCUCAUUAGCUGUAGAAGUCAUGCGAUGUUUGUGAUGUGAGGGUGGCAAUACUCUCUGACCUUUGGUUACAAUAUGUCUUUGAAAGCCAGUGUUUAUUCUGCUUUUACAGCAUUUCUCCAUUUGAACUGGCCACCUUUUAAGUGGUCAUUAGCCACAUGUGGCUACUAGCCAUGGGACUUAGACAGCAGAGGUGUGGAAAGUCCGCACAUUCUUCCACUCAAAGGAUAUUGAAAAUUUCCAGUUCUCAGUAUAACUGCCAACUGGCCCAGGGGUGGACAAGUGAGUCAGAUGAGACCAAAAUGAAAAUUCUGUUGAGACACUGGACCUUGAGGAUUCAAGCCAAGGACAAAAAAGUAGAAGGCCACUAGAAACAGCAGGUGAUGGCCCCAGCUCCUAUCCCUCCAUGCAGAACAUCUGUCAACACCUGUGGACAUCUUUUCCUCCCCCCAUUCCUAUGAAUU